UCUCAAAGCAAACUCAAAACAAAAAAAAUCAAAGUUCCCGCUUCGUUGGGGCGGAGCUCAAACCAUAAAAUAAAUAAACUCAAACCCUUCGUUUCAAACUCGUGAAGACGAAAACCGUAAUAAAAAAGUCCAAAUUCUGAACAAUCGGAUGAAUCAAGGAUAAGUGUUCACGAACCCUAAAACUAAAAAAAACAAUAAGAGGGAGUCAAAGCCUCAAACCGGAGGGAUUUGAGUCCCUAAAGUCUGCUCUACACAAUGGUAUACAAUAUAUGCUGAACCGAGGAAUUUGGGUUUCUACCUCGCCGGAGAAGACAAUCGGAGUAGGGGCAACAAUAGCGCGAGUUCUGGACUGCUUGGAUUAAUGUAUUUGGUUGCAGGAUGCAACAGAUUGAAGGGUGUUUGUUUGAUGGGCCUGCAAUUGAAUUAGGGCAUGAAAUGAUGUCAAUGAUGCUUUGCUGCAAGUAUGAAUUACACGUUGUGCUAUGGUUGUGUUGCUGCUUGAUUUAGAUGCAAAGGAUUGGAUGAUGCUCAUGAUGCAUGUUGAGCUUGUUGAAGUGUGAUAUUGGAACAAAUGUUUGCUGGUGAUGCAGCUCAUGGAUGGAUUGAUUACCAUGGUUUGGAUGCAUUGCGAGGAACAUGAAGGAUGGAUGUGGAAGGAACAUGAAGAGAUGAAUGUGGAUGCAAAAAUGGGACUGCCAUGAGAACCUUUGGUUUUUUGGCUCACUUUGAUCCAAAUUCACAAUAUAAUUCUAGGUGGUUUAGGCUAGGGCUUACGGUGUAAAACUUAUGAUGUAAAACAUGUAUGCUCAUGAACUUAUGUCUCAUGCUUGUAAUGUAAGAAAAGAUUUUAAUUCAAAUUGAAUCAAAACUUCAAUCAUUUUUUUC